CCUACGGGUGGCAGCAGUGGGGAAUUUUGCGCAAUGGGGGAAACCCUGACGCAGCAACGCCGCGUGCGGGACGAAGGCCCUCGGGUCGUAAACCUCUUUCAGCAGGGAAGACCUUACGACAGUACCUGCAGAAGAAACUCCGGCGAACUCCGUGCCAGCAGCCGCGGUAAUACGUAGGGGGCGAGCGUUAUCCGGAUUCAUUGGGCGCAAAGCGCCCGUAGGCGGACGCAUAAGCGGAACCUGUAACCCCGUGGCUCAACCACAGGCCGGGUUGCGGACUGGGCGGCUCGAGUGCGGUAGAGGAGAGCGGAAUUCCGGGUGUAGCGGUGGAAUGCGCAGAUAUCGGGAAGAACACCGAUGGCGAAGGCAGCUCUCUGGGCUGUCACUGACGCUGAGGCGCGAAAGCUGGGGGAGCGAACAGGAUUAGAUACCCCUGUAGUC
rnacentral:rRNA from 1 species